CAGGGAAUCGGUGGAGGGGAGCUGAGCCCUCUCCCUGCCCCGAAAUGACGCAGCCCCUGUUCCAGCAUCGUCUCCCGUUUGGGCUGGCUCCAUUUCAGAAGCCGUCUCCCCCCACCCCCUUCUUCCCAGCCUUCCUCCUUCCUCCUCCUCCUCGCCUCAUCGUCACUCUCAAACAACCCCCCCACGCCUCGCGCCCGCUUCCCCCCGCCGCCCCAAACUCCUUCCUCAGGACCGUGGGAUGCGGACCGACCCUUCUGCCCCACCCCACUCCCCCGCAUCCCGCGUGCAACCGGAUGGCAAAAAUCAAAGCUGGCUCCAAUUUACCCCAGUUGUCUUCCUUUGAGCACUCAUAAGGCGUCCGCCCCUGACUUUAAUCCAAAGGAGCUGCUUUCGGAAUUGGUGUGUCCUGUCUGCUUUGGUGUUUGCCUGCUGAGGAAGAGGCCCACUCUUUUCUCCAGUCUUGGUAUAUGGAUUUCUCUCUCUCCAAGUAAUUCCCUAGCAUACCCUUGAAUGGCAUCUACCACACGUGAGCGUCCUCCGCAGUCUCUAAGAUACUUUUGUUGUUUUUCUUCUUUGAACAUUUGUUUUUUUGAGAUGACAUUGACAGACAUGAGGCCUAAGUCUGGAGAUGUUCUGUGGGUAGAACUCACAUUUAUUUCAGUAUGUCGAGCAGUUUUAGGAUCUGAUCCAUAUUGAAGACUAGCAUUGUGUAAUGAUGCCUGGGCAUAUACAACAAUAUGUAUUCUAACACAGCUCACUCAAAACAAAUAUGUUCUCUUCGGCUGGUAUAAACAAACAAUCUCCAUUGUGUUCUGCAUGGCUCUGCUGCGCCGCCUUGCACAUGGCAAGAACUUGGCUUCCCUGUUCACAAAAACAGCAUCUCCAUUCUGAGACAUGGAGCUUCCCAGUGCAGGCCCAGACAGAACUGUAGCUUAGGACACUGGUCCUAAAAAAUGAUAGUUGGUCUGCUGUUAACUCCUAAGUGCAUUAUGAGGGAGUUUUUCUUGUUACAGAUAUGCUUAAAUAGGGUCCUGUUUCUGAGUCCUGUGCACUUCAGUCAGACAAUACUGACUCUGGAUUCCACAGCUGGAAAGCAGAGAAUCGGUGUAAUAGUUGUUGCAAGAUCCUCUCACACUGACCCAGAAAAUCUUCUCCUCUGAUAUCUAAAUGUCCUUGCAAUAAAAAUCGCCAGCUUUGUGAAAAAUUUGUGAUGACUCAAGGUGGAAACAUUAAGCAGAGAUAACUUUUCAACCCACAAGGCUGAAAAAACUUCCCUUAACUGAAAUGUCCCCAGCACAGCUAUUCACAAGAAGACAUCCUCCUUGAUUUCUUGGGGGGGGCGCGUAAGAUGACUGAACUUGCAGAACAGCAAAGACUUGGAACAGACAUUGAGGUCCUAUUGCUCCUGUUGGAAACUUCUGUUGACUGCAGCAUGAGUUGGAUGGGACCCAGAGAAACCAAAUACAGACAAGUAAUGAUGAGUUGGCCAUACAAGCAAGGAAAAUCACAGAUAACAGGUCUGGUAUAGAGCUGAGCACCCUUAGGGUCUUGUCACCAAAAGGACCUCCUGAGGUGUCCAGGGGAAAGCUGCAAGUAUUCUGAACAGGCACACAGGAAUGUUUCAGCUACCUGCAGCCUUCUCGGAUGAUGCUUAAUGAUCUCAGCUAGCUCGAUCUUCUGUGCACCAGCAGGGCCUUCUUUAAAUUGGUCAGCUGUACAGAACAUUGUUUUCAAGUUUAAUAUACUUGGAAUUAACUUUAUAAAAUAAUGGCAUGUCUAAAGACAGGUUAUAUACAUAGCACAGACAAGUAUGUGCACAUUUAUAUGUGCAUGUGUGUGUACAGAUACAUAAGUGCAUACAUAUGAAUAGAAAUGCUGAUGCUAUUCGCCUUUUUGAAAUCUUUACAGCUAGUAUUAACAUGAAUGUGCAGUUAAACUGGCAGUGUUAUACAUUUUUGCUGGAGUUUACUUCUGUAAGAUAAAAUCAUAAAGAAAAACUGUGAAACUCGUGCAGAUGAUGACAUAAUUCUAGAAUCUUGUGAUGCUGAAUCUCAUAUUUCUAGGAGUGUGGGAUGGAUGUUCCUCACUGAAAUAAUUAUACUGCCUAUUGCAAUAUAUGUUUCCUUGUUUUUAUGUGGGCACUGAGAAGUCCAAACUAUUAAACAUA